ACAAACAAUAAUCAGCAAAAUGCGUUCACAAAAAUAACUUUUUAUUUGAAUGUUUCAAUAUGCGUUGACACAAAUGACUUUAUUCGAAUGCUUCAUUGAUGCAACAUGGCACAGAGUUGUUAUAAAAUAAAUGCGUAGUGACAUCAUUUCUUAAUAACGUCAGGAGUCGAUGAAUCGGCUUUUUGAACCGGUUCAAUGAGCCGAACUGUUCGAAAAGAACCGGUUCGCGGAAAUGAAUCGGACUUUGCAUCACUAAUUUAUUCGUAUUAUGAUCUAUUCUUAUCAAAGAAGUGAGUGACACUUCAAACUGUGCAAGUGGUUCGUGUUAUUUGAAGCAGAAUAUGAAGCAGUCACGUGGUUGUGUGCGAAAAUGAAGCUUCGGACGUCACAGAUCACGUGGUUUUGGCAAAAUUAUUCAGGCUCCGGUACAGUGCUUCACUGCGAGAAGCUUUGUUUUUUUUUGAUACAGGCUUCGAAGCCUCGGUGUCGAACGACACAUCACUACUUUAUAGUAAAGUUACUAAAAGUACUACAAUACCAGGGGCCCGUUUCAAUAAGGAGGUUCCUAUGGGAUCAGAUUCCCGACAAAAGUAUUGCAGUCACGGAUAAAAAAAUAACAAGUGUGAAAACAGAAUUUAAAAACGCAAGUAAAAAUAUAUUGCACAAGAUUUAAAAUUGAAAGCAAAGUUUACAGAAUAGCAAACAAUGGUCACAGAUCGAAAAAUAACAAGCGUAAAUCAAAAAAUGUAUAAUGCAUUUUUAAAUAUAAUAAGCAUGAAUAAAAACUUUUAACAUAUUUAAAAUCAUAUUGCACAAAAUUGAAAUAUUAAUGCAAAAUUAUCUGACUUGCGCACAAAAUCAUGUUUUCCUUGGUUAUAUUUCUCAGUUUUUUCUGCUCUCAGAUAUUUUCUACUCAUAUUUUUAUUUUUUGUGUGCUUAUGCUGUUUUUCCCUUCGUGCUUGUUUCCACGUUCUGCGCUUGCUUUUCCAAAUGUUGCAGUUAGAGUUUCAUGUAAAUCAGGGCGGGCUCAAGCGUCAUCAUUGGUCCAGUAGUUCUUGAUUGACAGCUCCUCCUUUAGCCAAUCAGUCGAAGAGGGGCAUGGACAUCAUAAUGCGCCUCAUUAGCUGCCGAUGCUCAGCAUUCACUUGUACAGGUGAAAAUGUUUUUCUGUCAGCUGCACUGUAAAAAUUUUUGUUGUUGUUUCAACUUAAAAAAAGUAAGUGUUCGUGCUGCCUUAAAAUGUCAAGUUUUGUGAACUUAAAUUGUGAAGUUGUCUUAACUAAGAAUAAAGUUGAGGUCUCCAGGACAGUGACUCGGCUCAUCACCCAUCCCAGCUAUAGCUCAACUACCCAAAACAAUGACAUAGCACUGCUGUAGCUCUCCUCUUCUGUGACGUUCACUGAUUAUAUUGAAGUGUAUUUGGUGGAGGUACUAAGAGUUGGAUCACUGGAUGGGGCAAACUCAAUUCAGGAGACACCCAGAUUCCAAACAUACUGCAGGAGGUGCAGAUACCGAUUACAAACAACAGUGUUUGUAAUAAGGCCUAUGGAGGAAUCAUUACAAGCAACAUGCUGUGCUCUGAACUAGACGAGGGUGGAAAAGGUUCAUGCCAGGGAGACUCUGGAGGUACCAGUCUUGGAUCAGCUCCCAAAUAAGCAGCGAUCUACCAGGAUUUAUCUCAUUCACUUCGACUGAAACCAGCUCUGGCUCACCCAGUCUCCUCUUAUUUUCCCUUUCUCUCACAUCAUCCAUCAUUCCUCUGUUUAUCUCCUUAUUUGUAUUUUCUUAAUGACCAAGUCUUAAUUCUCUGAUUUAUGUCAUUUUGGUUAUUUACUUUACUUUAAAAUAUUAUACACUCUUAAAAAUAAAGGUGCUUCACGAUGCCAUAGAAGAACCUUUUUGUCUAAAUGGUUCCAUAAAGAACCUUUAAAACAUCUGAAGAACCUUUCUCUUUGACAAAAGGUUCUUUGUGGCAAAGGAAGGUUCUUCAGAUUAUAAAAAGGCAAGGAAGAGAUGGUUCUUUAAAGCAGUGGUUCUCACUUCCAGUCCUGGGGGCCUCCUGCUCUGCACAUUUUGCAUGUCCAAAAAUGGUUCUUCUAUGGCAUCGCUGUGAAGAUCCUUUUAAGCCCCUUUAUUUUUAAGAGUGUAGUAUGCUUUAAAAUAUUAUAGUACUAUUAGUGUACUAAUAUUAUAGUACUAGUGUUCUGUUAGUAUCUGAGCGCACUCGUGCACGUGUGUGUAGGCCUAUACACAGCCAUUGUUCACACAUUUUAUUCAAAUUAAAGAAUACAAAUGCACUGCAGUCACUUUUUUGUGGUACAGUAACCUAAUACUUUGUCUCUGGCCUUAAUUUCUGUAGUGGAAGUGCAGAACAAUCAAACUACACUCUGUAAUAAACAGAGGACCUGCAGGCUCAAACUCGUUCACUAACCGUGAAUGCAGAAAUCUGUGCUUUGUUACUUCUGAUAAGAAACAUUGUUUCAGCUUUCAGAUUCUUAUCAUGUUAUCACAAUAUUGAAAAUGUUGUUUUGACAUUCUUAAAUGACCAGACUUGCCAUUGGGCUUACUGGGCUGCAGCCGAUGGGCUCCGCCUUGUAGGGGGCCCCACCUUUACCCGUUUACGUUUGUUUGAGUUCAGUUAUAUGCCAGUUAGAAAUGAUUAGCCUGCACAUGCAAGGACUAAACGGUCCAACCGGGGCUAACAGCUGCCAACUGCAACCUUCAGUGCUUUAUUCAAACAGCAUAAACUGGUAUUUGUGAUUAUUUCACAUAGAAGAAGGACACACAUAUUUAAUCUGUGCUGAUUAAUUUGAUCACAUGGCUAUUUUAAACAGCUCUAUUAAGCCUUUAGCCCAAAAGAACACACACUUAUAAAAUAAUGAUAAAUUCUCAUGUUCACGCCUCUUUUCUUUACAAAAGAUGAUUCUAUAUUAAUGUUCCACUAAAUUAUACGAUCUGAAGUGUUUUGAGCUCUCUCUCCCGUCUUACUGCCAUUACUCAUGCCUGAUAGCACACAUACAUCACGGAGAUGUAUAUUUGACAUCAGCAUUUACAUCUGCAAGACAUAUUUUUUUGAGUGUUUGCUCAUCUGCAAUACGUCUAUAGGACGUUUCUUAUCAGAUGUCAAAUAGACAUUUAUUGGAUAUCUUUAAGAUUUUUACGAUUUAGAAUAUGCGUAAAACUAAUACCUUAAAGAUGUCUGUCAGAUAUUUGUACACAGCAUCUUGCAGAUAUACGUGUGCUAUCUGGGAUAGUGGGGCAGAAAUGUAUUGUAAUGAUAUGUAAAUGUAAAUGUAAUGAUUUUAAGAAAAUAAAAAUAUCCAUUUCUGUUUUUAUAAAAUAUGCCUAUGAUAUAGGAGUUAGCCUAUCACACAAACAAGAGUCCUGUUUUAACCGGACGAUCACUAUGUACAAUAUACAGACACAAUAUUCCAUUUUGCUCCGUAAAAAAAAAAAAAUCAAUUUCUGCAAUCAUUUAAUAUUUCUACAUUAAAAUGCUAUAUUUAAAUUUAUGCAAAAUUUAUCUAUGGAUUUUGUUGAAAGUGAUUUCAUUUGCUUGUUAAACAAUUGAAACAAUAAUGAGGUAACAAGAUGGGCGGGGUCAGACAACAGACAGGAGAGCACACCAACAAACACACAACAAGCCAUGUGCUCACACAAAAGACACAGUGUCCUCUGGUGGCCAUCUAGGGCACACCAGCUGAAGACUGACAUAAGAAUUUCCUUCAGCACCUAAGCUGAACUGUUCCAGUUCACAGACAUACGGUUGAGGUUGAUG